rnacentral:misc_RNA from 1 species
AAGAAGGCAAAACCUCAUGCAGAGGUAUUAGCGAUAUUUUAUUAUAUGAUAUUAUAAGAGAUCAUCUAAGUACUUCUUUUAUUGACCAUAUACCCUGUUGAUAAGUUAAACUUCUAUCUCAUUCAUAAGUUCUGUGGAUCUUUAGCUGUGUAUAAUACUGCAACCAUAUGAUGUGAAUGCUAAGCCGGUUUUCCUUUAGAUUGUUGUAUGGACAAAAUCAAAUGAAUCACAAAUGAUUCAACUUCUUAUAUUGCAAUUUUCAAAAGCAAUAUUGUUCUAAGAAAUUUAUGCUUGGAUUUAAUGAUACUACUUUUUUUUUUAGCUACG